GACGAACGCUGGCGGCGUGCUUAACACAUGCAAGUCGAACGGAAAGGCCCUGCUUUUGUGGGGUGCUCGAGUGGCGAACGGGUGAGUAACACGUGAGUAACCUGCCCUUGACGUUGGGAUAACUUCAGGAAACUGGGGCUAAUACCGGAUAGGAGAUCCUGCUGCAUGGGGGGGGUUGGAAAGUUUCGGCGGUUGUGGAUGGACUCGCGGCUUAUCAGCUGGUUGGUGGGGUAGUGGCUUACCAAGGCUUUGACGGGUAGCCGGCCUGAGAGGGUGACCGGCCACAUUGGGACUGAGAGACGGCCCAGACUCCUACGGGAGGCAGCAGUGGGGAAUAUUGCACAAUGGGCGGAAGCCUGAUGCAGCAACGCCGCGUGCGGGAUGACGGCCUUCGGGUUGUAAACCGCUUUCACCUGUGACGAAGCGUGAGUGACGGUAAUGGGUAAAGAAGCACCGGCUAACUACGUG
rnacentral:rRNA from 1 species